UCGAACGGGAAUUACUUUAUUGAAACUUCGGUCGAUUUAAUUUAAUUCUAGUGGCGGACGGGUGAGUAACGCGUGGGUAACCUGCCUUAUACAGGGGGAUAACAGUCAGAAAUGGCUGCUAAUACCGCAUAAGCGCACAGAGCUGCAUGGCUCAGUGUGAAAAACUCCGGUGGUAUAAGAUGGACCCGCGUUGGAUUAGCUUGUUGGUGGGGUAACGGCCCACCAAGGCGACGAUCCAUAGCCGGCCUGAGAGGGUGAACGGCCACAUUGGGACUGAGACACGGCCCAGACUCCUACGGGAGGCAGCAGUGGGGAAUAUUGCACAAUGGGGGAAACCCUGAUGCAGCGACGCCGCGUGAAGGAAGAAGUAUCUCGGUAUGUAAACUUCUAUCAGCAGGGAAGAUAGUGACGGUACCUGACUAAGAAGCCCCGGCUAACUACGUGCCAGCAGCCGCGGUAAUACGUAGGGGGCAAGCGUUAUCCGGAUUUACUGGGUGUAAAGGGAGCGUAGACGGUGUGGCAAGUCUGAUGUGAAAGGCAUGGGCUCAACCUGUGGACUGCAUUGGAAACUGUCAUACUUGAGUGCCGGAGGGGUAAGCGGAAUUCCUAGUGUAGCGGUGAAAUGCGUAGAUAUUAGGAGGAACACCAGUGGCGAAGGCGGCUUACUG
rnacentral:rRNA from 1 species